UACGGGGGGGCAAGCGUUUGUUCGGAAUUACUGGGCGUAAAGGGCUCGUAGGCGGCCAACUAAGUCCGACGUGAAAUCCCAAGGCUUAACCUUGGAACUGCGUCGGAUACUGGAUGGCUUGAAUUCGGGAGAGGGAUGCAGAAUUCCAGGUGUAGCGGUGAAAUGCGUAGAUAUCUGGAGGAAUACCGGUGGCGAAGGCGGCAUCCUGGACCGACAUUGACGCUGAGGAGCGAAAGCUAGGGGAGCAAACGGGG
rnacentral:rRNA from 1 species